GAUGAACGCUAGCGGAAGGCAUAAUACAUGCAAGUCGAACGGAUGUAGCAAUACAUUAGUGGCGCACGGGUGCGUAACGCGUAUGCAACCUACCUUCAUCAGGGGGAUAACUACCCGAAAGGGUGGCUAACACCGCAUAAUACUAUUGAGUGGCACCACUUGAUAUUUAAAUCAGAGGAGGAUGAAGUUGGGCAUGCGUCUGAUUAGCUAGUUGGUGUGGUAACGGCGCGCCAAGGCGACGAUCAGUAGGGGAACUGAGAGGUUGGUCCCCACACUGGCACUGAGAUACGGGCCAGACUCCUACGGGAGGCAGCAGUAGGGAAUAUUGGUCAAUGGUGGGAACACUGAACCAGCCAUUCCGCGUGCAGGAAGAAGGGUCUCUGACUUGUAAACUGCUUUAGCAAGGGAAGAAAAAGCUCAUGCGUGAGAAAUUGACGGUACCUUGAGAAUAAGCACCGGCUAACUACGUGCCAGCAGCCGCGGUAACAC
rnacentral:rRNA from 1 species